rnacentral:rRNA from 1 species
AUUGAACGCUGGCGGCAGGCUUAACACAUGCAAGUCGAGCGGGGGAAGGUAGCUUGCUACCGGACCUAGCGGCGGACGGGUGAGUAAUGCUUAGGAAUCUGCCUAUUAGUGGGGGACAACAUCUCGAAAGGGAUGCUAAUACCGCAUACGUCCUACGGGAGAAAGCAGGGGAUCUACGGACCUUGCGCUAAUAGAUGAGCCUAAGUCGGAUUAGCUAGUUGGUGGGGUAAAGGCCUACCAAGGCGACGAUCUGUAGCGGGUCUGAGAGGAUGAUCCGCCACACUGGGACUGAGACACGGCCCGGACUCCUACGGGAGGCAGCAGUGGGGAAUAUUGGACAAUGGGUGGACCCCUGAUCCAGCCAUGCCGCGUGUGUGAAGAAGGCCUUAUGGUUGUAAAGCACUUUAAGCGAGGAGGAGGCUACUUUAGUUAAUACCUAGAGAUAGUGGACGUUACUCGCAGAAUAAGCACCGGCUAACUCUGUGCCAGCAGCCGCAGUAA